UAGGUUUAUAGUUUAAUUGUCAUUCAUAUUAAACGGAGAAAAAUUAUGGAAAAUAAUUGAGGGGUAAAAAUGAAUCGUGAAGAUUUGGUUUUCUUGUGGAUUUCAGAACAAGAGCGGCAACGACGUCGCGUAAGGGACGACUGAGAGUUGAAAAUGCUAAAGCAGGGGAUUUCCAAUCACAGCAAAUUAGCAAUGAACAUGAAGCGGGAGCAUCAGGAGGGAACAGUGACGUUUGGGAAGUUACUGCUCGAAAAAACAACCGCGGAACGUCUGCUCUGCAGCACUCCGAAUGUUUGGAGGCUGUAGCUUCUAAAUCGGCUAAUUUCCCAAAGUGGUUGCGUUUGAGUCAUAUAAGGCGGCUUGCGCGUUCGUUGAAUAAUUUAGGUGGCGAGGUUAUUGGUAAUCACCAAAUCGUAGCACAGGUGGCUCCAAAGGGUGGUGCUAGUAAUGCUUCUUGUUUCCGAAUUGGAGAUUUUAAAUCUGGGAGACUUCCAAAUGGACUGCGUUUCAGUUGUGUUAAACGUCUUGCGCGGUCAAUAAAU